AUUGAACGCUGGCGGCACGCUUAACACAUGCAAGUCGAGCGGUAACAUGGUCUGUAGCAAUACAGACUGAUGACGAGCGGCGGACGGGUGAGUAACACGUAGGAACCUGCCCAGAAGAGGGGGACAACCAAGGGAAACUUUGGCUAAUACCGCGUAAUCUCGAAAGAGAAAAGUUGCCCGCAAGGGUGACGCUUUUGGAGGGGCCUGCGUCCGAUUAGCUAGUUGGUGAGGUAAUAGCUCACCAAGGCAGUGAUCGGUAACUGGUCUGAGAGGACGACCAGUCACACUGGGACUGAGACACGGCCCAGACUCCUACGGGAGGCAG
rnacentral:rRNA from 1 species